rnacentral:rRNA from 1 species
CAGCCCUAAACCGAAUGCGCGUUAGGUGUAUCGGUGACCACGAGUCACCGAGGUGCCGAAGGGAAACCGUGAAACGUGCCGCCUGGGAAGUACGGUCGCAAGGCUGAAACUUAAAGGAAUUGGCGGGGGAGGCACCACAACGGGUGGAGCCUGCGGUUUAAUUGGACUCAACGCCGGGAAGCUCACCGGAUAAGACAGCGGAAUGAUUGCCGGGCUGAAGACCCUGCAUGACCAGCUGAGAGGAGGUGCAUGGCGUAGUCGUGU